rnacentral:rRNA from 1 species
AUUGAACGAUGGCGGCAUGCUUAACACAUGCAAGUCGAACGAGUGGCGGACGGGUGAGUAAUGCUUGGGAAUCUGGCUUAUGGAGGGGGAUAACGACGGGAAACUGUGGCUAAUACCGCGUACCAUAGGAUGAGCCCAAGUGGGAUUAGCUAGUUGGUGGGGUAAUGGCUCACCAAGGCGACGAUCUCUAGCUGGUCUGAGAGGACGACCAGCCACACCUGGACUGAGACACGGCCCGGACUCCGACGGGAGGCAGCAGUGGGGAAUUUUUGGCAAUGGGGGAAACCCUGACGCAGCCAUGCCGCGUGAAUGAAGAUGGCCUUCGGGUUGUAAAGUACUUUUGGUAGAGAGGCGGUAUCCACAGAAUAAGCACCGGCUAACUCCGUGCCAGCAGCCGCGGUAAUAC